CCCCACUGCUAUCGGGAUGGGACUAAGACAUGCUAGUCGAGCGUCUCCAAGCUAUGGAAGAGACGCGGCACACAGCUCAGUAACACGUGGCUAACCUGCCCUUGGGACAAGGACAACUCCGGGAAACUGGAGCUAAUCCCUGAUAAGUGAGAACUCCUGGAAUGGAUUCUCGCUCAAAGGACGUUUAGACCAUGCUUCUAAGCGCCGCCCAAGGAAGGGGCCGCGGCCGAUCAGGUUGUUGGUGAGGUAACGGCUCACCAAGCCUUUAACCGGUACGGGCCGUGAGAGCGGAAGCCCGGAGAUGGGCACUGAGACAAGGGCCCAGGCCCUACGGGGCGCAGCAGUCGCGAAAACUCCGCAAUACACGAAAGUGUGACGGGGCCAUCCCGAGUGCCAUCCGCUGAGGAUGGCUUUUCCCCAGUAUAUAAAGCUGGGGGAAUAAGGAGAGGGCAAGCCUGGUGUCAGCCGCCGCGGUAAUACCAGCUCUCCGAGUGGUGGAGAUGUUUAUUGGGCCUAAAGCAUUCGUAGCCUGCUUGGCAAGUCCUCCGUUAAAUCCAACGAUUCAAUCGUUGGGCUGCGGGGGAUACUGUCCAGCUAGGGGGCGGGAGAGGCCGACGGUAUCCCCGGGGUAGGGGUGAAAUCCUAUAAUCCCGGGAGGACCACCAGUGGCGAAGGCUGUCGGCUAGAACGCGCUCGACGGUGAGGGAUGAAAGCUGGGGGAGCGAACCGGAUUAGAUACCCGGGUAGUCCCAGCUGUAAACGAUGCAGGCUAGGUGUUGGCGCGGCUACGUGCCGCUCCAGUGCCGCAGGGAAGCCGUUAAGCCUGCCGCCUGGGAAGUACGGCCGCAAGGCUGAAACUUAAAGGAAUUGGCGGGGGAGCACCACAGGGUGUGAAGCUUGCGGUUU
rnacentral:rRNA from 1 species